rnacentral:rRNA from 1 species
AUAUCAAUAAGCGGAGGAAAAGAAACUAACAAGGAUUCCCCUAGUAACUGCGAGUGAAGCGGGAAAAGCUCAAAUUUAAAAUCCUUCGGGAGUUGUAAUCUAGAGAAGUGUUUUCGGCCGUUGUCUCGAACAAGUUCCUUGGAACAGGACGUCAUAGAGGGUGAGAAUCCCGUACUUGUCGAACCAGCAACGUCUAUGUGAUGCACUUUCGAAGAGUCGAGUUGUUUGGGAAUGCAGCUCAAAACGGGUGGUAAACUCCAUCUAAAGCUAAAUAUUGGCGAGAGACCGAU